CCCAGAUGAAAUGCGUUGAUCCUGUGAUGAAGGAAGAAGAUUCUGAAGACUAAGUUUUGUUCUUGUAAGUUUUGACUUUCUCACCACAGGUGCUCUAGGGGUAAGAUUUUUUUUCACACCUAUGUGUAAACGUUAUGUAUCAGUUUGGGGACUUUCAGUUCUGUGCUUUUAGCACUUUUUUGUUUUGUUUUGUUUUGAGACACAGUCUCCCUCUGUCGCCCAGGCUGGAGUGCAGUGGCGUGAUGUCCGCUCACUGCAAGCUCUGCCUCCCGGGUUCACGCCAUUCUCCUGUCUCAGCCUCCUGAGUAGCUGGGACUACAGGCGCCUGCCACCACGUCUGGCUAAUUGCUUUUAGCACUUUUUUGGGAGAGGAACAGAUGAUAAUGCAUUGCCAGGCCUUCAGUACAAAAGGUAUUAGACUCAAGAUUCUACAAGAUUCUGUUUGCGCCAGACACUGAUUAGCAGUGCAAAUAUAAAAUGAAUACAAAUAGAUCACGCAUCAGAAUGCCAAUCACUUCCUAGAAACACUGAUCAAAAUUUGCAUUAAAUCAACAGAUCUUUCUUUUAAGAUGGGUGUGGCAACAGUAAAGCUUUCUACGUGUUAAACAGAAUGAACAAAACCAACACAGAGCAGUAACUUCCUGCCAGAGAGAGCAGAAGGAGACCCUUAUAGAACAGUUGUUCCACUGGUUCAAAGGCCUCGUGUGGUUCUAUCCUUUGGACUGCCUUUCUUCAACAGCCCAGACACCUGCUCCAUCAGAUUUAUAAGCCACACCCCCUAGAGCCAUGCCAAUCAAAGCAUGGCCCGCAGACCUGUGCCAGUCUCCGAACCUGUUUGUUACCGAUUUGGAGCAAGAUGGGGACAGAAAUUGAGAGCCAGAGUU
rnacentral:sRNA from 1 species